rnacentral:rRNA from 1 species
GCUGGCGGCGUGCUUAACACAUGCAAGUCGAGCGAUGAAGUUUCCUUCGGGAAACGGAUUAGCGGCGGACGGGUGAGCAACACGUGGGUAACCUGCCUCAUAGAGUGGAAUAGCCUUCCGAAAGGAAGAUUAAUACCGCAUAACGUUGAAAGAUGGCAUCAUCAUUCAACCAAAGGAGCAAUCCGCUAUGAGAUGGACCCGCGGCGCAUUAGCUAGUUGGUGGGGUAACGGCCUACCAAGGCGACGAUGCGUAGCCGACCUGAGAGGGUGAUCGGCCACAUUGGGACUGAGACACGGCCCGGACUCCUACGGGAGGCAGCAGUGGGGAAUAUUGCACAAUGGGGGAAACCCUGAUGCAGCAACGCCGCGUGAGUGAUGAAGGUUUUCGGAUCGUAAAGCUCUGUCUUUGGGGAAGAUAAUGACGGUACCCAAGGAGGAAGCCACGGCUAACUACGUGCCAGCAGCCGCGGUAAUACGUAGGUGGCGAGCGUUAUCCGGAUUUACUGGGCGUAAAGGGAGCGUAGGCGGAUGAUUAAGUGGGAUGUGAAAUACCCGGGCUCAACUUGGGUGCUGCAUUCCAAACUGGUUAUCUAGAGUGCAGGAGAGGAGAGUGGAAUUCCUAGUGUAGCGGUGAAAUGCGUAGAGAUUAGGAAGAACACCAGUGGCGAAGGCGACUCUCUGGACUGUAACUGACGCUGAGGCUCGAAAGCGUGGGGAGCAAACAGGAUUAGAUGCCCUGGUAGUCCACGCCGUAAACGAUGAAUACUAGGUGUGGGGGUUUCAACACCUCCGUGCCGCCGCUAACGCAUUAAGUAUUCCGCCUGGGGAGUACGGUCGCAAGAUUAAAACUCAAAGGAAUUGACGGGGACCCGCACAAGUAGCGGAGCAUGUGGUUUAAUUUGAAGCAACGCGAAGAACCUUACCUACACUUGACAUCCCUUGCAUUACUCUUAAUCGAGGAAAUCCCUUCGGGGACAAGGUGACAGGUGGUGCAUGGUUGUCGUCAGCUUGUGUCGUGAGAUGUUGGGUUAAGUCCCGCAACGAGCGCAACCCUUGUCGUUAGUUACUAUCAUUAAGUUGAGGACUCUAGCGAGACUGCCUGGGUUAACCAGGAGGAAGGUGGGGAUGACGUCAAAUCAUCAUGCCCCUUAUGUGUAGGGCUACACACGUGCUACAAUGGCUGGUACAGAGAGAUGCAAUACCGCGAGGUGGAGCCAAACUUUAAAACCAGUCUCAGUUCGGAUUGUGGGCUGAAACUCGCCUACAUGAAGCUGGAGUUACUAGUAAUCGCGAAUCAGAAUGUCGCGGUGAAUACGUUCCCGGGUCUUGUACACACCGCCCGUCACACCAUGAGAGUUGGCAAUACCCGAAGUCCGUGAGCUAACCGCAAGGAGGCAGCGGCCGAAGGUAGGGUCAGCGAU